rnacentral:rRNA from 1 species
UACGUAGGGAGCGAGCGUUGUCCGGAUUUACUGGGUGUAAAGGGUGCGUAGGCGGGUUCGCAAGUCAGAAGUGAAAUCUAUGGGCUUAACCCAUAAACUGCUUUUGAAACUGCGGAUCUUGAGUGAAGUAGAGGUAGGCGGAAUUCCCGGUGUAGCGGUGAAAUGCGUAGAGAUCGGGAGGAACACCAGUGGCGAAGGCGGCCUACUGGGCUUUAACUGACGCUGAGGCACGAAAGCAUGGGUAGCAA